GCCCGGAUAGGGUAGCUUGGAUAUCCUAAAAGCUUGCGGAGCUUUAGACCCGAGUUCGAAUCUCGGUCCGGGCG
rnacentral:tRNA from 1 species